rnacentral:tRNA from 1 species
GCGGGUGUGGCGGAAUUGGUAGACGCGCGGGAUUCAAAAUCCCGUUCCUUUGGAGUGUCGGUUCGAUUCCGACCACCCGUACCA